CCCCUAGUAACUGCGAGUGAAGCGGGAAAAGCUCAAAUUUAAAAUCUGGCAGUCUUUGAUUGUCCGAGUUGUAGUCUAGAGAAGCAUUUUCCGCGUUGGACCGUGUACAAGUCUCUUGGAAUAGAGCGUCAUAGAGGGUGAGAAUCCCGUCCAUGACACGGACUACCAGUGCUUUGUGAUGUGCUCUCAAAGAGUCGAGUUGUUUGGGAAUGCAGCUCAAAAUGGGUGGUAAAUUCCAUCUAAAGCUAAAUAUUGGCGAGAGACCGAUAGCGAACAAGUACCGUGAGGGAAAGAUGAAAAGCACUUUGGAAAGAGAGUUAAACAGUACGUGAAAUUGCUGAAAGGGAAACGAUUGAAGUCAGUCGCGUUAUUCAGAACUCAGCCUUACCUCGGUAUGGUGCAUUUUCUGUUUAACGGGCCAGCAUCAGUUUUGACCGCUGGAAAAAGGUCAGAGAAAUGUGGCACCUUCGGGUGUGUUAUAGUCUCUGAUUGUAUACAGUGGUUGGGACUGAGGAACUCAGUACACCUUUAUGGUCGGGGUUCGCCCACGUUUGUACUUAGGAUGCUGGCGUAAUGGCUUUAAGCGACCCGUCUUGAAACACGGACCAAGGAGUCUAACAUGCCUGCGAGUGUUUGGGUGGUAAACCCGAGCGCGUAAUGAAAGUGAAAGUUGGGAUCUCUGUCGUGGAGAGCACCGACGCCCGGCCCUGAACUUCUGUGACGGACCUGCGGUAGAGCAUGUAUGUUGGGACCCGAAAGAUGGUGAACUAUGCCUGA
rnacentral:rRNA from 1 species